rnacentral:misc_RNA from 1 species
AUUUGCAUUGGAUGGUCUUCAUUCGACUGGGAUUGUGCAUAGGGAUAUUAAGCUGCAGAAUAUUAUUUUUUCUGAAGGUGAUGAUACCAAGAUCAUUAGUAAAUAUAAAGGGGUUAAAUUCAAGUUAAUCUCAAGUCAAUUAGUUCAUGUGUGCAUGUAAAACUGGAGCAGGGUCUCGGUCAUUCAAGAUCAUUGAUCUUGGAGCUGCUGCAGAU